CUUGACGAUCAUAGAGCGUUGGAACCACCUGAUCCCUUCCCGAACUCAGAAGUGAAACGACGCAUCGCCGAUGGUAGUGUGGGGUCUCCCC
rnacentral:rRNA from 1 species